CCUAGAGGCUGCAGUGGGGAAUAUUGGACAAUGGGGGCCACCCUGAUCCAGCAAUGCCGCGUGUGUGAAGAAGGCCUGCGGGUUGUAAAGCACUUUCAGUAGGGAAGAAAAGCUCGGAGUUAAUACCUCCGGGUCUUGACGUUACCUAAAGAAGAAGCACCGGCUAACUCCGUGCCAGCAGCCGCGGUAAUACGGAGGGUGCAAGCGUUAAUCGGAAUUACUGGGCGUAAAGCGCAGGCAGGCGGUCAGAGAAAGCCCUGGGCUUAACCUGGGAACUGCAUUCGAUACUGUCUGGCUAGAGUAUGGGAGAGGGAAGCGGAAUUUCCGGUGUAGCGGUGAAAUGCGUAGAUAUCGGAAGGAACAUCAAUGGCGAAGGCAGCUUCCUGGCCCAAUACUGACGCUCAGGUGCGAAAGCGUGGGGAUCAAACAGGAUUAGAUACCCCAGUAGUC
rnacentral:rRNA from 1 species